rnacentral:lncRNA from 1 species
AUUUUUUUAAUUUAAACACUUUGUUUUUUUUUUCCCCCAAGUCACCUCUUGCACAUUUCUAAAUAGGAAGCAAGAAUUGGUACAAACCUGCUGUCAUUGCAACAUCCCCCGGGCUUCUUGAUGAGCUGCAGAAAGCUGCAAACGCUCCCAUGGUUGAGAACUGAGCAGAUCCCUGCCCCUGCUGCUUAGAGAGGUUGUGUUGGAUUACAAUAACAGCAGGGAGAAGCAAGGCAUAGCAGCAGCUUCGCUUAUUGCUGGCAAGCCAGGCUUUGCUCAGCAGUCUUCCUGCCCUAUGUUAACUUGGAAAGACUUCUCUUGAAAAUUAGUCUGAUAGAAGUGCAGCUCAGCAGCAGUGUUACCAUCAACUGAGGGGUAACAGAUCACCCCAGCCACUGCUGAGCUGCUGCUGCUGUACUCAGGACUGAAAUAUGCAUCUGGCCACAGCAGAGGUUGUGAUCUUCCUUUUUUUCCCCUCCUGUUAAAUACCAGUGAGAUGGUUCCUGACUUGUCCUACUCCUCACUGCAAUGGGUUAUUUCUCAGCUCUGAUGUUCCUUUUUUACUCUCUUGCAGUGCCCUGGUUUUGUCUCGCCUCCUUAAUCUUUGUUCACCAGUAGGUGGAUACCAGCAGCAAAUUGAAGUUACCUCCACUAGGUGAUGCUUGGCUGGUGAAGUCUGUGUUUGAACAAAACCAAGAAUGCAAUGUGAAAUACUUCAACAGUGACUUCCAAAUGUGAACCUUGAUGCUGCGGUGUUAAAUCCUCCUCACUUGAGGAGUCUCCUCUACCUGUUGUGGGGAGCUGC